AAAUAUUUUAUGUAUUUUGGUUAUGGUAGAUUUACUUUUUAUUGUAAGCUAAGAAGCUGGCUUAACAGUACACACUUAAAAUGUUAUCCUGAAAAGCCAUGAGUCUUUUAAGCCCAGUGCAUAAAGAUACACUCUGAGUUAUAACUCAGAGGCACAACA
ensembl:scaRNA